UGUGUGUGUGUGUGUCCUUGUUUAAUUUGUAAUAGAGGCUUGCUGAUAGGUGCAAAAAUAAAACCCCACAUCUUUUGCAAUAUAGAACUAAUUGUCCAAUGAGUUUGGUGAAAUAUAAGAAGGGGUAUG